UUUACUGGAUAACCGUGGUAAUUCUAGAGCUAAUACAUGCUAAAAACCCGGACCUCCGAAGGGGGUGUAUUUAUUAGAUAAAAAACCCAAUGCCCUCUGGGCUCUUGGUGAUUCAUAAUAACUUAACGAAUCGCAUGGCCUUGCGCCGGCGAUGGUUCAUUCAAAUUUCUGCCCUAUCAAUUUUCGAUGGUAGAGUAGUGGUCUACCAUGAUCUCAACGGGUACCGGGGAAUUAGGGUUCGAUUCCGGAGAAGGAGCCUGAGAAACGGCUACUACAUCCAAGGAAGGCAGCAGGCGCGCAAAUUACCCAAUGCUAAUACAGCGAGGUAGUGACAAUAAAUACUGAUACGGGGCUCUUUCGGGUCUCGUAAUUGGAAUGAGUACAAUCUAAAUCCCUUAACGAGGAACAAUUGGAGGGCAAGUCUGGUGCCAGCAGCCGCGGUAAUUCCAGCUCCAAUAGCGUAUAUUAAAGUUGUUGCCGUUAAAAAGCUCGUAGUUGAACCUUGGACCUGGCUGAUCUGUCCUCCUAAUCGAGCGCACGGAUUCGGUCGGGUCUUUCCUUCUGGGGAGCCCUAUGCCCUUCACUGGGUGUAGUGGGGAACCAGGACUUUUACCUUGAAAAAAUUAGAGUGUUCAAAGCAGGCCUUUGCUCGAAUACAUUAGCAUGGAAUAAUAGAAUAGGACAUCGGUUCUAUUUUGUUGGUUUCUAGGACCGCUGUAAUGAUUAAUAGGGAUAGUCGGGGGCGUCAGUAUUCAAUUGUCAGAGGUGAAAUUCUUGGAUUUAUUGAAGACUAACUACUGCGAAAGCAUUCGCCAAGGAUGUUUUCAUUAAUCAGUGAACGAAAGUUAGGGGAUCGAAGACGAUCAGAUACCGUCGUAGUCUUAACCAUAAACUAUGCCGACUAGGGAUCGGACGGUGGUUUUUUUAUGCCCCGUUCGGCACCUUACGAGAAAUCAAAGUUUUUGGCU
rnacentral:rRNA from 1 species